GAUGAACGCUAGCGGGAGGCCUAACACAUGCAAGCCGAGCGGUAUUUCUUCUUCGGGAGAGAGAGAGCGGCGUACGGGUGCGGAACACGUGUGCAACCUGCCUUUAUCUAGAGGAUAGCCUUUCGAAAGGAAGAUUAAUACUCUAUAAUAUAUUAAUUGGCAUCAAUUGAUAUUGAAAACUCCGGUGGAUAGAGAUGGGCACGCGCAAGAUUAGCUAGUUGGUGAGGUAACGGCUCACCAAGGCAAUGAUCUUUAGGGGGCCUGAGAGGGUGAUCCCCCACACUGGUACUGAGACACGGACCAGACUCCUACGGGAGGCAGCAGUGAGGAAUAUUGGUCAAUGGGUGCAAGCCUGAACCAGCCAUCCCGCGUGAAGGAUUAAGGUCCUAUGGAUUGUAAACUUCUUUUGUAUAGGGAUAAACCUACCCUCGUGAGGGUAGCUGAAGGUACUAUACGAAUAAGCACCGGCUAACUCCGUGCCAGCAGCCGCCGUAAAAC
rnacentral:rRNA from 1 species